rnacentral:misc_RNA from 1 species
AAAGAAUGGAAUAUAUUAGUGUUUACGACCUGCAAAACCUUGAGAUAGCCACAUCAAUGAAAAUAAGGCUCUGGUAGAUUCACUUCCAAUUGCCAACUACCACGAUUUGAAGCAGCUUCCAAGUUGGGAAGCACAGAAACGUAUUGAAAAGGUCUUCAAUACUUGCCAAGCAAACCAUAAGUGUGAGAACCAUGUAACCUUAGGGCAUGGGGGAUGGGAGUGACCGACAACAUAACCAUGGGAUCCACAAAAUAUAAGACUAAAGUAACAGCCAUCAUCUGUACAAAAUCAUUUGUCCCAUGAUAAUU